UACGUAGGGGGCAAGCGUUAUCCGGAUUUACUGGGUGUAAAGGGAGCGUAGACGGCAGCGCAAGUCUGGAGUGAAAUGCCGGGGCUCAACCCCGGAAUUGCUUUGGAAACUGUGCAGCUAGAGUGCGGGAGAGGUAAGCGGAAUUCCUAGUGUAGCGGUGAAAUGCGUAGAUAUUAGGAGGAACACCAGUGGCGAAGGCAGCAUACCGGUGCACAACUGACGCUCAGGCACGAAAGCGUGGGUAUCGAACAGG
rnacentral:rRNA from 1 species